rnacentral:lncRNA from 1 species
GGAGACCAAGAGGAAGACUGAUUAAAGACUGGCAGAGAGAGGAGCAGUGUGGGAGCAGCCCCUGCCCAAUGGGCUUUGGUGGCCUAGAGCCAUAAGAAGGUCCUCCCACCUCACCCUGCCACAAUAGUAACCUUUAGGAAAUUUAAGCUGCCCUGAACCCCAUGCCCCCAGCUUGUCACAUCCAAAAGGGUGUAAAUAUUCCCAACAUGGCCUAUUUCAACCUCCAAGAUGGCUUCAUUGACUGUGGAGUUGGGGAGACAUGUGCACAGUCAGCCCUCGUGAGCAGGUGUGAGCCACCUCCAGAACUCCACUGAUACGCCAGCAAUCAGGAUUUGCAGUACAGAUGAAGACUGUGGAACACUUAUUUUAAUGGGCUAGAAGACUUCCUGGCAUGUUUUGAGUAAAUUGUGCUACUGUCAUGCAGAACUGGAUUAAUGUCUGUCUUAUAAAUAAGACCCACCUGGUAUCACUCUGUUUGCAAAGUGUAGCAGCCAGUGUCACCGGUUAUAUCUCCGUCUGCUGUGUUAGGAAGCAUUCUUGUCCUGUUUUAUUUUUCCCUCAGAAGUAUAGAAAAAGGACCUCAUGCCAGGUGUGGUGGCUCAUGCCUGUAAUCCCAACACUUUGG